rnacentral:lncRNA from 1 species
GGUUCACUGUAGAAGUAAGGUGUGCACUCAUGGGGGAUCUAUCAACCUUAGUAGUUGAGGAGUAGUCCCAUAUGACCUAAGAGACUGAGUCCUUAAGUCUGUAGCCACAGCAACAUGAUAAUGGAAAAGAGUUUUCAUGAGAUUCAUGAUUGAGCUCAAGCUAAUUAAGUCUUACAUAUGAUGGAUGCUUAGGGUUUGAUGAGUUUCUAUGGCCUGCAUCC